GUGGGGAAUAUUGGACAAUGGGCGAAAGCCUGAUCCAGCCAUGCCGCGUGUGUGAAGAAGGUCUUCGGAUUGUAAAGCACUUUAAGUUGGGAGGAAGGGCAGUAAGUUAAUACCUUGCUGUUUUGACGUUACCGACAGAAUAAGCACCGGCUAACUUCGUGCCAGCAGCCGCGGUAAUAUGAAGGGUGCAAGCGUUAAUCGGAAUUACUGGGCGUAAAGCGCGCGUAGGUGGUUCGUUAAGUUGGAUGUGAAAGCCACGGGCUCAACCUGGGAACUGCAUCCAAAACUGGCGAGCUAGAGUACGGUAGAGGGUGGUGGAAUUUCCUGUGUAGCGGUGAAAUGCGUAGAUAUAGGAAGGAACACCAGUGGCGAAGGCGACCACCUGGACUGAUACUGACACUGAGGUGCGAAAGCGUGGGGAGCAAACAGGAUUAGAAACCCCUGUAGUCC
rnacentral:rRNA from 1 species